UGCCAGCCGCCGCGGUAAUACGGAGGGUGCAAGCGUUGCUCGGAAUCAUUGGGCGUAAAGCGCGUGUAGGCGGCCAGGCAAGUCGGAUGUGAAAGCCCGGGGCUCAACCCCGGAACUGCAUCCGAAACUGCUUGGCUUGAGUACGGGAGAGGGAAGCGGAAUUCCCAGUGUAGAGGUGAAAUUCGUUGAUAUUGGGAGGAACACCCGUGGCGAAAGCGGCUUCCUGGCCCAGUACUGACGCUGAGACGCGAAAGCGUGGGGAGCAAACAGGAUUAGAUA
rnacentral:rRNA from 1 species